rnacentral:lncRNA from 1 species
GAGCCUUGCGUGAAAUGAGGUUGUCAAAAAUUGCAGGCGAGGCAUGUGGCCUCCAGGUGACUGAAGUCUCAGGGACAAAUAAAGGUCUCCUGGAAUUUCAAUGCAAAAUUCCUGAUAACUAACUAGUAUGAAGUGAGCAGACUGUUCAGAGGAAUUGAAUAUAUUGAGAAUUCAACCUGACCUUGCAAGUGGCCUGAGCAGGGGAGGCCUCAGUACAAUCGCUCCAUUGCCUGAAGUCAGAAAGAUGUAAGAUACAGCUUGCUGUGUGACAGGACCUGAAUAAUCAAAAUAAAAUGAUGAUGACGGUGAAGACA